AUGAUCCUGUGGCUGAAUUUGGUUUCCUUACUAGCGGUCCUCAGAGGUGUCCUGUCAGAGGCCCAGUUGGUGGAGUCUGGAGGGGACGUGAGGAGGCCUGGAGAGUCCCUCCGUCUCUCCUGCCAAGGCUCCGGAUUCACGUUCAGCAGCUACUGGAUGCACUGGGUGCGACAGGCUCCAGGGAAAGGACUGGAAUGGGUGGCAGGGAUAAGCUCUGGUUCUGGUUCCAGUACUUACUACUCGGACAAAGUCAAGGGACGCUUCACCAUCUCCAGGGACAAUUCCAAAAGCCAAGUCUACCUGCAAAUGAACAGCCUGAAACUGGAGGACUCGGCGGUCUAUUACUGUGCGGGAGACACACUCUUUCAUUUCAUUGGAGCCCUAAUUACCAUGUCUUAA